AUUGAACGCUGGCGGCAGGCCUAACACAUGCAAGUCGAGCGAGCGGCGGACGGGUGAGUAAUGUAUGGGGACUGCCCGAUAGAGGGGGAUAACUACUGGAAACGGUGGCUAAUACCGCAUACUAUCGGAUAACCCAUAUGGGAUUAGCUAGUAGGUGGGGUAAAGGCUCACCUAGGCAACGAUCUCUAGCUGGUCUGAGAGGAUUACCGGCCACACUGGGACUGAGCAACGGCCAAGACCCCUACGGAGGCAGCAGAGGGGAAUUUUGCACAAUGGGCGAAAGCCUGAUGCAGCCAUGCCGCUUGUAUGAAGAAGGCCUUAGGGUUGUAAAGUACUUUCAGCGGGGAGGCGUUACCUGCAGAAGAAGCACCGGCUAACUCCGUGCCAGCAGCCGCGGUAAUAC
rnacentral:rRNA from 1 species